rnacentral:lncRNA from 1 species
UCUCUUUAGUUCAAGUGACUUGUGUUUGCUUAUAUUUAGGCAAUCUCUUGAGUAAAGUGACUCAAAUUCAAUUAUUGUCAUGUCUCAUGUUGAGUCAUCUAGUUAAGUAAUAUGUUGUAUGAAUGUUUUUGUAUCCUAGAGAACCUAAUGAAUUGCCUUCAAGAAAAGAAAAAGAUUUUGCUAAUGAUACAGGAUUUAUGAGCAAGAAAUUUCAACUUGAAGGACACCUCGAUGAAAGAUACAAUAAACAUUCCCUUGCAAAUAAAAAAAGAGAGAUUUUCUUCAGCCAAGGGUGUAAAGAAUCUAAAAGGUAUUUGGCUUGAAGAAUGCUAAAUGCACUGGUAAUCUAAACCCUUCUCCUGUGAGUUAGUUGAGCAAAAUCAAUAGUCUGAAAUUAUAUGGUAGCAUGAUUAAACCUUUAAUUGCUGAUCAUCUUGAU